UAGGGAAUCUUCGGCAAUGGACGGAAGUCUGACCGAGCAACGCCGCGUGAGUGAAGAAGGUUUUCGGAUCGUAAAGCUCUGUUGUUAGAGAAGAACGUUGGUAGGAGUGGAAAAUCUACCAAGUGACGGUAACUAACCAGAAAGGGACGGCUAACUACGUGCCAGCAGCCGCGGCAAUACGUAGGUCCCGAGCGUUGUCCGGAUUUAUUGGGCGUAAAGCGAGCGCAGGCGGUUCAUUAAGUCUGAAGUUAAAGGCAGUGGCUUAACCAUAGUACGCUGUGGAAACUGGAGGACUUGAGUGCAGAAGGGGAGAGGGGAAUUCGAUGUGUAGCGGUGAAAUGCGUAGAAAUAUGGAGGACCACCGGUGGCGAAAGCGGCUCGUAGGUCUGUAACUGACGCUGAGGCUCGAAAGCGUGGGGAGCAAACAGG
rnacentral:rRNA from 1 species